ACGACUCUCGACAACGGAUAUCUCGGCUCUCGCAUCGAUGAAGAACGUAGCGAAAUGCGAUACUUGRUGUGAMUUGCAGAAUCCCRUGAACCAUCGAGUCUUUGAACGCAAGUUGCGCCCGAAACCAUUAGGUUGAGGGCACGUCUGCCUGGGUGUCACGU
rnacentral:rRNA from 1 species